rnacentral:rRNA from 1 species
UACGAAGGGGGGCUAGCGUUGUUCGGAUUUACUGGGCGUAAAGCGCACGUAGGCGGAUCGUUAAGUCGGGGGUGAAAUCCUGGAGCUCAACUCCAGAACUGCCUUCGAUACUGGCGAUCUGAGUCCGGAAGAGGUGAGUGGAACUCCUAGUGUAGAGGUGGAAUUCGUAGAUAUUAGGAAGAACACCAGUGGCGAAGGCGGCUCACUGGUCCGGUACUGACGCUGAGGUGCGAAAGCGUGGGGAGCAAACAGG